CCCGGCGCCCCGAGGCGGUGCUGUCCCUGACCGUACGGCUGGAGCUAGGUGGUAUUAUUGCCUUAGAAGAUCACAAUUUUACAACCAUCAUGUAAUGAAUAGAUUCAGAGCAGUAGAAAUUUCCAAGACUCGUUACUGGGGAAGGCAAUGAAAUUUCUGUAAGAGUCAGAGGAAAGAGCUUGCACUGGGAACCCUGCACCAGGUGGUUUAGGAGAUGCCGACCAUCAGAGCCAGAGAUGACCUUGAGAAGGGAAGAGAUCCCUGGGAAUUCACAGAAACCUGGGGGGGCUGUGGAAGGCCAGGUGAGGAGUUGAAUCUGGACACACACCUGAGGCACUGGAGCCAUGGGUGGGGGCUUACCUGGGCGAUGAGGAUGCCGACGACGAUGCCCAGCUGGUGCAGGGUACCCAGGGCCCCGCGAAGGUCUGUGGGGGACACCUCCCCCACGUACAUUGGCACAAAGCCAGUGGUCAGGCCGCAGUAUACACCAAUGACGAAGCGACCCAGGAUCAGCAUCUCAAAGGACUUGGCCAGUUUUGAGAAGCCCAUGAGCACAGCGGACACAAAGGUCAGCAGGUUCAUCAUCAGCAUGGAAUUCCGCCUGGGGGGCAGGACGGGGAGGAGGUCACAGGUCAGGCAGGUCCCUGGACCCCCCGGAGGCCCCAGGGGCUGGGCCAUAGGUAGACCCUAGGACAGCCAGGGAAGGCCCCCACCUCCCACUCCCUGGGCUGGGCCGGGACCCCUUCUGCUCACCGGCCAAAGCGGUUAACGAAAAGGCCCACAGAGAAGGAGCCAAUCAUGCCCCCCACGGAGAAGAUGGCCACAGAGAGGGACCAGAGCGUGGUCAGUGUGGCAGGCAAGAUGCGCUCCCCAUAGCGGUGGAUCCAUGUCUGGUUGUAGAACUCCUCAAUCACCUGCAGGAGCAGAAGCAGCCUGGUGGGCGAGGCCAGGACCCAGUCAUCCUUCUCCCUUGCACUCCCCCGCCUCAAAGAGGACCAUUUUAUCACGGCUAGAGGGGGCCCAGGGACCCAGCACCAGGCCCAGCCCCAAACUCGCUGCUUUCUUACGCCGGGUGCCACCCCUUUUGUGGGCCUCAGCCACCCACACCACCGAGGGAGAGUGGUGCCGGCUCUCAUACCUCCCCCAGGGGUGGUUUCCAGAGCCCUGUAGUUUCAGGAGCUCAACAGGACUUUCUGGGGAUGAUGGCAAGUGAAGAGUGGUGGAAGUUCAGGCAUAGCAGAGAGAGGCUCAGAGAGAGAGUGCUUCUUCCCGCAUGCCCCUCCCCAAUCCCCCUUGUGGGGAGGAAAUACAGCUGGACAGAGGCCCUUCGAGGAAGGGAAGGGCAGGCUGACUUUGCACUCAGGCCUGGUGUGAGCAACUUGCACACAAAUGCUUGUGAGACCCACCCCCGGCUGGCCUGGGAGCUCCCCUCUGAAGGACCCAUGGCCUCGUCCCCUCUCUCAGGUGCCCAGUUGGGCGGUACAGGGAAAGCUACAGACAAGGAAGCAGUUCCAGGAACUGGAGACACCUGUCCUAGAACAGGCCUCCCGCUAGCCCUGCCCCCACCAAAGGGAGGGCCUGGCUGGCCCAGGCCCAGGAAUGUGGCAGGCAGGCAGCCCUGGUUCUGCUUGCUCACACUCACCCCUCCUCUCAGGUGAUGCAGAUACAUGCCCAGUGCCUCGGGACAAGCCAGACCCACCCAGCAACAUGCGCAGCCACAGGCCCACCGUACCCAGAAACAGCCUCCUGUGUACACACGCCAUCACACACACGAACUCGCGCUCACGUAAUCUGAAUAUUCCCGACUUCAGCCAGUCACAAACGUGCAUGCCCCUCUUCCCCUCCCCACUUGCAGCUCAAACUCAACUCUACGCGAGCCCAACCCAUCUGGCACCCCUCCCCACUGCAAGUUUGUGUGCACCGGGCAAUAUGCAGCCUCUCAUACAGUACGAUCUCCACUGCUCUUGGCCCUCCGUAACCCUCCCAAGCUCCAGGGGUCUAGCAGAAGAGGAGGCUGUGGGUAGCCGCAACUGCCAAGCCCACAGCCCCAGGAGUGCCCACUGAGUUACCUACUUGUCUGUCCCAGGGAAGCUGGACAGCUCAGAGGUGAGGAACCUGGACGCAACCAAGUUCAGACCCAGCUCUACCACUCAUCUCCAGUGUGACCGAAGGCAAAUGAUUUUAUCUCGAAUGACAUUAGCAAUAUCCACUUCCAUAGUGUUGUGGGAAGUUAAUGAAACACCCUUGGCAGUGCUCACAUGGUGCUUGGUACCACCACUGAGCUGAGGGACCCCACCACGUUCUGGUACUGAUCCAGGGGCAGUGCAGGCCACUGACAAAGGCUAACAGAGCCUGCGUCCCAUAAUUCAAAGUCAAGGCUCCUGCCAGGUAUCAGUCCCACCUCCCAGCAUCUCUACUUUUGCCCUAUGCACCCUUUCCCCCAGUUCCACGGUUACUCCUCCUGGAGGGCCCACCUGCCUUACCAGGCUGAAACCUUUUGAGACCCAGCUCAGAGGGUCCCAAGAGUCUGUCCUCCCUGAGGGCAGGGACCCCAGUGGAUUCACCCCAGGGCCUCUCCCAGAGCUGGUGCAGGGGCGCCUAGCAAGUGGAUGGAGGAGCAAUGAAAGGGCCUUAGGCUUCCCUCCUAGCAGCCCUUGCUUCUGCCAGGGGCAGAGAAGGCAGAUUUCAACAAAACAAACACAAAGUGCUUGUGUUCUUCAAGGGACAAAACCAACCCCAGAGGAGGACUGGUUUGGAACAGUAAUGCUCCACUUAUCAGGCUCUGCAGAGAGCAAGCUGUCCUGGAUAAGGGAACUGCCCAGAUAGAUGGCCCUCACCCCUUGGAGGGCCCAUCAUCUGGCUGGAAAUCUUUCUCCCUCCCGUCCCUCACACUCUGCCGCCCAGAGCAACCAGACCUACAAGCAGGGCUCCGGGGCACUGAUGUCCUUGGGGCUCUCUGCAGGGGCAAGGAGAGGUGUUUGCCCCAGAUGACACUUAAUUUUUGCAUGCUGUAGUUCUCAGGCUCACCCCCUGCCCCCUGUGUUUCAGAUGCUUGUCUCAUAGAGCUCUCCACAUCUCGUUUUAAAAUUUUUCAAGUCGGCUAAUGGAACUUGCCUGAAUUGUACGCAGAGCCAAUACGUGUAGUAUUUAGGCAGUAAGUGCUUACUACCUAAAUGGGUUUAAGGGUGUGAGGCUGAGGUCUUUAACCCUCUCCUUGGGAUCUGGCUGGAGAUGUUGAGGAGCCAUGUGUUAGGUGAGGUGUUACCAGAGGCUCCCCAGUUAAGUCUCCUGCAUGUGGUAACAAGUCAGAGGGGCCAGACCCUGGCCAUGGCUAUAGCUCCUUUAUGGCUCCUGAGCCCCUUGCUGCCUAGACCACUUUAUGGGGUUGAGGCGCAGUGAGCAGCGAGCACCGUCCACCUUGGCCCCAGGCUCAUCCUCUUCACCCCCCCCAGCAGCACUUCUUGGCCAAGCCGAGGUUGCCCACUGGGUUCCUGCCUCUUGAUCUGGUGCUUGAGAUUUGUGGGAAGAAGCCAAGUGUGGUUUUCCUUUCCUGCGGGCGGUGCAUGGGCUGUUUGUCCUCUCCCCUCGGGUCCAUGCCCUGUGUGGGGGGUGAAGCUGGCCCUGGGCCCAGGAAAGGUGGUGGGUCCCUGGAGGACAGGAGAACCCUGCGUGGGGAAAAGUUCCGGGGUCACCUCUUCCACCCAGCCGCUGCCUUGAGCAUCAUCCAGCGGUGGCUGGGUGCCCGUCAUGGAAGAAGAGCCUCCUUACUGCUCUGCACCCUUAACAGGAUCCCACAGGCCCGGUCUCGGCAGCAAGCUUCCUGGCGGCCUCCUCAGCCCCGGCUCAUGUCUGAGGCGAGGCCUCACACGUGCUUCUUCUGAAUGCUUUUUCCUCACAUUCUGGUUACAAGCCUGGGAGCUACCCUUGAUCCUGCCACUGCCCCACAUGCAGUCACUCACCAGGUCCUGUCCAUAAAAUCCUACCUCCUUAUCGGUCCUCCUCUCUACUCACGCAGCACCUGCCCUAGGUCUCACCUGGAUUCUGCUCCUGACUUCUCCCAUCCACCGAAGCCAGAUUCCGAUUCCCACCAUUAUUCCCUGACUUGGCAGUCGAGCCCUGGACAUCAAGCAGACCAGGCUCAGCCCUCCAUUUGUCUCUGUUCCCUUCCCAGCCCAUUCCCAACCCCUCUCCCUGCCAAGGGUCGGUGUGAGUGCACGUGUGCUGGGGAGAAAGGGCAGGUCCCAGUCAGCCAUGGCAUCAGGCUGUUGGAAGCUGAGGGGCUAUUAGAGCUCUUUCUCUAAGCAUCCCCUCAUUGAACCUAGGGCAGAGGCUCACUUGGCGACACUGUAGGGGCCAGCCUGGAGAAGCAGGAUGGCCCUGGGCAACUGCCAUCCCUUGGACUGAAUGGUUUCCAGUAAAGAGCUAUUCCUCAUCCCAGCAGUUCUCCUGGGGGUGAGGGUGGGGAGAGGCUUGUGUCAUGUCUGUCAUCCCCCCUCCCUUCCCUGCCUGGGUAACUGUGGCUGAAGGACCACAGGUCUCUCUGUUUAGAGCAGAAGUUCUGACUUUCUCUGUGUCAGGGCAGCGUCUGUAGUGAGGCUCUGGGUGUGAGGUGGAGCCCACUGCCUGGCACAUGGAGUAAGCUGUUCCUUGUGUCACUGUUCUCUCAAGGAGAGAAGCCAUCUCCUUGAGAGGAACAUUAAGGACAGAGUUUUCCAUUUUUUAAUUACUGCAAGACAAAGCAUUAACCUAGGAAUUUAUAGUACAAGAAAGAACCUGAAGGAACUAGAGGCUUGCCUUGGGGAGUAAAGCUCUAUCUUCAGAGCUUGCUGGCUGCCCAGGCCGAGGGACCCAGCAGGUCUGCAGAGCCCCAGGGCACAGACUUCAGCUCAGGGGAAAGAAGAGCUUUCUAGGCUUCAGAGGAUGAGAUUACCCAUGUUACAGUUAGUGAGUCCCCUGUCAGCAGGGAGCAUACAAGUCAAAGUUUGGAUCAGGGAUUGAUAUAAACAAUUUAUGUGAAAGGCUAGAUAGAAAAUAUUAGAGUCUGUUGAUGACACAUGGCCUCUGUUGCUUAUUUUUCUUCCCUUCCCUCCCUCCUCGCCACCCCAACCUUUUAAACACGUAAAACCCAUUCUUGGCUCAUAGGCCACACAAAAACAGGCUGCUAGCUGAAUUUGGUCCCCCUGCCAACCCGUGUUCUAGAAUUCCAGACCACUGCCAAGAGAAGGGGUAUAUGUUUUGGAAUUUCUGGCCGCUCUCCACAUCUUCCCUGCAGAGGCCUGGUCUCCUAGAUCAGCGGGCCCCAACCUUUUUGGCACCAGGGGCCGGUUUCAUGGAAGAGGGUUUUUCCACGGACCGGGGGUGGCGGUGGGCGUGAUUCAGGCAGUAGUGAUUCAGGCAGUAACGUGAGCGGUGGGGAGCAGCUGACUGGCCCGCCCGCCGCUCACCUCCUGCUGUGAGGCCCGGUACUGGUCCCUGGCCCGGGGGUUGGGGCCCCCUGUUCUAGAUCAUCCUGAGAGGGAAUCAGCUCUCUCUCAACCCUUUCUUCUCUCUCUUAGAUAUACUGUGGGCAUGAAGGGGUUAAACAGCUGCCCAAGCUUUGAGGUCCAGUCGCGAGGAAGAAAGGGACAGCUUGUCCAGUUCAGCCCCUCAGCCCGGCUUUGACCCCUAUUUCCUGUUCCCUACCUACCCCUCCCCCACAGCUGGGGCUGCCCCCGCCCCUUGCCCCAGGCGGUAUGUCUCCAUAGCAACUCAGCCACGCCCCAGGGUCAGCUGGGAGUUCGGAGACAGAUGCUACAGGUGGGGCUGGACAGAUAACUUCUGGGUUCCUCAGGGCCUCUCCCUGGGGCCUGGUGAAGAGGCCCAGGCAGCCAGAUGGAGCUAGAAGCUGGGCCCCAACCCCAGAGCAGAUGAUCGGACCACCCUGGCUGCUUUGGCUGCUUUUCUGGAAGAGCCCUGAUAGGGCUUCUCUCCAAGCCUUUGCUCUGACCUCCUCACUGGUCCCUGGCGUCUGGGGUCUCCCCUGCAAACAGAAGGAUCUUCAUUUCCCCUGCUCACAGCUUUUCUUGUCUCCCCACCACCCUCAGGAUGAAGUGUCUCUUCCCACCCCACAUGGCAACGCCCCCAUGCUGCCCGGGCACCCCACACCUCUGCACCUUCGCUUUGCUGCUGCUUCGCCUUCUGCCUGGAUUUCAUUUGAACAAAAUUCUGGGAGAUGAAAAAAGAAGCGCAAGAAACUGCAGAAUUGCUGUAAUACCCUCAUGCGAUUGAUGGGGAGCCUAAGGUCAGAGGGUAGGGGCCCAGGAUACUCGGCAAACAAAAGCUAAUUCUGGGACUUGAGUUCUUUGGAUUCCUGGACAAGGCAUUUUACCCUCUGAACUCGUCCAGCCUGUCAGGUCUUUUCAAGAAGAAGAGUAAUAACCAUGUGAAGCCUGACCUUCAGGUGACCUCAGGCAUUUACUCCUCUCAGCCAUCUUCUUCAAGUCCUCCAGUGAUGUCAGGACUUCUGCAUGGCUGAGCCUCCCCUGCACCCCGCAGUGGCCCUGGAGGCAGAAGGUGCUCAUCAGUCUUUAAAAGCAGAGAGGAGAGGCAGCUGCCGCUUUUAUCAGCACCAGCAGCACCGGGCAGGCCCUAGGCAACGUGCCAGGGGCUGCAUCCACAUCCUGAUUUAACCACCAUCACCAGGCUCUGGGGGAGAGAUGGCUCCCACUUCACGGAUGAGAAAAUGGGAGACUCAGAGAGGAAAAGGCGGAUGAUCAGGAGGCCUUCGGCUGCUGGAAGCUUCAAACUGAGGGGUCUCUGCUGCCAAACCCUUCCUGCUCACGUCCUCCCCUGCUUCUGGGUACUGGUCCCCAAAAGAAGCAAGGUUUCUAUCUGCUCCUUCCUUCCUAUGUAGGUCAAAUUCCAUUCCAGCAACUCGCUGGGCCUUGCCCAGUUUGAGCCAGGACAGCCCAGGCCCAAGCUCAGAAACCUCUCGGUCGCUUGGGUAGAUUUUGCUCUAAGCCCAGGUUGGUCAACUAUGGUCCGUGGCCGAAUCCAGCCUGCCAGCUAAGAAUGGGUUUUACAUUUUUAAGUGGCUGGGAAAAAAAAAAAAAAAA